GGGUCUGAGAGGAUGAUCCCCCACAAUUGGUACUGAGCCACGAUCAAAAUCUAUAGGGAGGCAGCAGUAGGGAAUAUUGGACAAUGGUGGAAACACUGAUCCAGCCAUGCCGCGUGCAGGAUGACUGCCCUAUGGGUUGUAAACUGCUUUUGUACGGGAAAAAACCCCUUUACGUGUAAAGGGUUGAUGGUACCGUAAGAAUAAGGAUCGGCUAACUCCGUGCCAGCAGCCGCGGUAAUACGGAGGAUCCAAGCGUUAUCCGGAUUUAUUGGGUUUAAAGGGUGCGUAGGCGGCCUGUUAAGUCAGGGGUGAAAGACGGUAGCUCAACUAUCGCAGUGCCCUUGAUACUGAUGGGCUUGAAUACACUAGAGGUAGGCGGAAUGUGACAAGUAGCGGUGAAAUGCAUAG
rnacentral:rRNA from 1 species